UUUUGUGAUUUUAGUGAUUUAAUCACAAAAUAUUCGGUAAGCACAUCAUAACUCCGCAGUUAAGCAUGUUUAGACGAGAGUAGUAUUAGGAUGGAUGACUUCCCGAGAAAUUCUCGUAUUGCAUCCC
rnacentral:rRNA from 1 species